GGACGAUAUCACACAGCCCAGACAGAACCCUAAUCCACACAAACACAGGAAGGAUUGAAAUAGACAGCUGCAUAUAUCUUCCCAGCACGGUGGAUGUCCUGAGACGUGAGGAAGCAGGGCUGGCCUCCCAGCAGAGCGAAACCUGCAGACACAUCACAACACACAUCACAACAAUGCAACACAACACAGUUGCUGGUCAGAUGACAGCUGUGAUUUUCAUUCUGUGGUUUAUGUCACUUGACACCCAUAGCAAGUGUCUGAUCUCAUCUGAGCUGAAAUCUUUCAACGUCAGGAAACUGCGACCCUUUAAAUUUACAGAACCAAGGACUGCAGCACCGAUGCUGCAAAAUGAAGAAGACUCUCACUAUUAUACACAGUACCAAGCUUUGACAUGUCAUGAGAAAGUCUCACAGAGAAGCCAUGGACAAUACAGCAUAUAUAAGGAUUUCACCAUGCAAAAUGAUCAGAAAAACAGUUACAGCAGCUAGUGACAACUAGAAAACCAGCAGGCUAGUUUAUGUGUACACUCCGCCUGGAGCACACGUGUGGAGGUUUGAUUGUUCUCUUACCUAAACUUUCUCGCACUGAUGUUUUGGAGAGUUUUCAGGCCACAUAUAAUGUGCUUAUUUAAAGAAAAUACUUUAAACGACAUGGCA